UUUUAUCCCUUCAGGUAGAUCAACCAGUGUCCAUACACCAUUGAUCUCCAUGGACUCCAUCUCGAACUUCAUGGCCUCAAGCCAUUUUUGAGAAUCGAGCCUUUGCAUGGCCCCAUAUAGGUGAUCGGAUCCUCAUCAUUCUCAUCAAGUUUGAUGGGGUCAUCGUCAUGGAUCAGAAAAUCAUAGUAUCUGUCUGGCUGAUGCGGUACUCUAUCGUAUCUCCUUAGUGGCACCUCUACUGGCUCC
rnacentral:lncRNA from 1 species